UGACUUUUAAUUUGCUUCCCUCACCCAUUCUUCAAAGUUCUUAAGCUGUAGGCUUAAUAUUUUAUUUGUAAGUACAGCAGGAGAUGAGGAGGAGAUGAGCUCUCUUGGGCUGGUAUCAUGCCCAUCCACACAAGUUUUAUUGCUUUUUAAACAGGUUACUAUGGAGCAGAUUCCAAGCACAGGGCUCUCCUGCCUGGAAACAAAACAUGCUACUGAUCUCUUUCAGUCAGGUGUGUGAGCAGAACUUUGCUAAGGUUGACGGGUUGCCUGAAGCUGAUAGCACAGUGUUACUGUUAGGUAGUGAUGAUCAGCUAGCAAUAUCUGCUGGGUUGGUUUGGCAGGACUUAAGGUGUGCUUGGUAGAGCUGCUUGUCAGUUCUUGGUGGCAUUGUUGGUGUACUCCCUAUGUACUUCCUUUUCUACUUAUCUCACAGUACAAAAGUCUCAGCAGGCAGGUGCCAGCAUCCUUGUUAAAAUAUCAGGUAGUAACUCUCUACUGCUGCUAGGCAUCAUCCACUUCUGUUGAAUAAUUAAUCUGUGAGGAAGAGGUUAGCAAGAGCAAUUUAUACCAAGCAGAGACCAGCUCACUGAGUGUACUCUGAAACAAAGAAAAUACACAAGCAGAUACAAACUGAACAUUAAAAAAAAAAGGCAGCCACAGGAUUUGCCAGUUCUUGAGAGCCUAGAAAAAUGGGAUAUCGACUCAAGCAUCAACCACAGCAAUAGAAGCCGUUUGACUUGGAAGACUUUAAACUUCAUCCUCUCCAAGAACUCCAGGAGAUUCUCUGCACCUUCUGGCUCAUUCUACAGAGCUGAAACCUCUGGACCAUAGCAACAAGGAAUAGGAGAUGCUGGAGGAAGAAGCAGAGUGCACUGCAUUGAACAGAUACACAGCCUGCCUAGCAGGAAGAAGAGAAGGAUUCCAGUGGCAGGCAGCCUCCUAGGACCUGAGAGUACUCCUCAGCAGCUGCAAGCCUAUCACAAGCCAGCUACAAGAGACACAAAUACAGGUCAAUGAUGCUUGGUGGAUGAAAAAGAGAAGCAAAUAACACUUAGGGGACUGAAUUUUUUCCACCUGCCAUAAAUAUAGGGCUAAGGAAGAUGACAUGUCUAUCUGCCAUGGAUUGUCAAAUCCCAGGAAGAGACAGAAAACAAAAAGCCCAGUGAAAUAAGGAAUACCAAAUGGAAGAAAACAAGUGAUGGUAGAAACACAGUGACCACAAUGAAUCACCACAUUUCCAACUGUGAUAGAGACUAUUUGCAGUCUACACACACAGCUCCUCACAAACAGUGGCCUCUACUCAUGGGAAAUAUCAAACCAGACUGUUUCACACACCUGACUCAUGCUUCAUUGCCUCAGCACCAGCUCCCCACUGCUGCUUCCCCACCAGGGCUCACACAGUCCUCUGUGCCAGUGACUGGCUGAGCUAAACCACUUGAACUCACAGCUGCAAGCUCUGGGUCCCUCAGUCAGCACCCAGCCACAUCCUUAUGAAGGUCUGCAAAGUCCAAAGCAUCUCCUGUCACUCCCUUUACAGGUAGCAGUAACAACUGAGAUCCAAGUUGGCCAAAGGGAUUCAAAACCAUAUUCUCAUCCCACUUCCAACGCUGCUCUAAACCUUGUCAGUGCAGUAUUCCUGGAUUGGCUGUUGUGCUCUGGAAAUAGAGUAUAGUAUUCUGCCUUCCUUCCUGUGGGCUAAUUUGAGGGCAGCUACUGCCACCGAUUAGUUUCCCUGGUGGGAAGUUCACUGUGGAGCCAGCGUCUAAAGUGUCUUAUUAUUUCAGAGAUUGGCUUUUUGGUGGAUUCAAGAUGCUAAGCCUGUCUGCAUAUUUUUGACAUCUUACUAAAUUGCCAGUUUGACAGAGGAGAAAAGUCAUUUAUAUAACAUUAUGCUAACAUAAUGCAUUUCUUAGUGUUGCUGGUAAGUCUUACAUACUAAGUGAAUCUUUUAACAUCAGUUUCAUGAAGAGUAUGCACAUUUUCUUUGGCAAUAAAACAGCUUUGUUCAACUUUUCA